GUCCAGACUCCUACGGGAGGCAGCAGUGAGGAACAUUGGUCAAUGGACGAGAGUCUGAACCAGCCAAGUAGCGUGAAGGAUGACUGCCCUAUGGGUUGUAAACUUCUUUUAUAAAGGAAUAAAACGAGGCACGUGUGCCUUUUUGCAUGUACUUUAUGAAUAAGCAUCGGCUAACUCCGUGCCAGCAGCCGCGGUAAUACGGAGGAUGCGAGCGUUAUCCGGAUUUAUUGGGUUUAAAGGGUGCGUAGGUGGUUAAUUAAGUCAGCGGUGAAAGUUUGUGGCUCAACCAUAAAAUUGCCGUUGAAACUGGUUGACUUGAGUAUAUUUGAGGUAGGCGGAAUGCGUGGUGUAGCGGUGAAAUGCAUAGAUAUCACGCAGAACUCCGAUUGCGAAGGCAGCUUACUAAACUAUAACUGACACUGAAGCACGAAAGCGUGGGGAUCAAACAGGAUUAGAUACCCCAGUA
rnacentral:rRNA from 1 species